rnacentral:rRNA from 1 species
UACGGGGGGGGCAAGCGUUGUUCGGAAUUACUGGGCGUAAAGGGCUCGUAGGCGGCCAACUAAGUCAUACGUGAAAUCCCCCGGCUUAACCGGGGAACUGCGUCUGAUACUGGAUGGCUUGAGUUUGGGAGAGGGAUGCGGAAUUCCAGGUGUAGCGGUGAAAUGCGUAGAUAUCUGGAGGAACACCGGUGGCGAAGGCGGCAUCCUGGACCAACACUGACGCUGAGGAGCGAAAGCCAGGGGAGCAAACGGG